CUCUUGAAAAACAAACAUAAGAGGUCCCGCCUGCCCUGUGACUACAUGUUUAACGGCCGCGGUAUUUUGACCGUGCGAAGGUAGCGCAAUCACUUGUCUCUUAAAUAGAGACCCGUAUGAAUGGCAUAACGAGGGCUUAACUGUCUCCUCUCUCCAGUCAAUGAAAUUGAUCUCCCCGUGCAGAAGCGGGGUUAAAACCAUAAGACGAGAAGACCCUUUGGAGCUUUAGAUGACAGCUGACUUUACGUUUAAACCCCAAACAAAAGGGCCAAACAAGUAAUAAAUCUGCUAACAUCUUCGGUUGGGGCGACCGCGGGGUAAAGCACAACCCCCGUGAGGAUUGGGGUAAACCCUAAAACCAAGAACACCUGUUCUAAGAAGCAAAAACUUUGACCUUAAGACCCGGCAUGACCGAUCAACGAACCAAGUUACCCCAGGGAUAACAGCGCAAUCCCCUUUAAGAGUCCCUAUCGACAAGGGGGUUUACGACCUCGAUGUUGGAUCAGGACAUCCUAGUGGUGUAGUCGCUAUUAAGGGUUCGUUUGUUCAACGAUUAAAGUCCU
rnacentral:rRNA from 1 species